rnacentral:rRNA from 1 species
CGCGGCCUAUCAGCUUGUUGGUGGGGUAACGGCCUACCAAGGCGAUGACGGGUAGCUGACGUGAGAGCGUGACCAGCCACACUGGGACUGAGACACGGCCCAGACUCCUACGGGAGGCAGCAGUGGGGAAUAUUGCGCAAUGGGCGAAAGCCUGACGCAGCGACGCCGCGUGGGGGAUGAAGGCCUUCGGGUUGUAAACCCCUUUCAGCAGGGAAGAAGCGAAAGUGACGGUACCUGCAGAAGAAGCACCGGCUAACUACGUGCCAGCAGCCGCGGUAAUACGUAGGGUGCGAGCGUUGUCCGGAAUUAUUGGGCGUAAAGAGCUCGUAGGCGGUGUGUCGCGUCGGCCGUGAAAACUAGGGGCUUAACUCUGAGCGUGCGGUCGAUACGGGCAUCACUUGAGUUCGGUAGGGGAGACUGGAAUUCCUGGUGUAGCGGUGAAAUGCGCAGAUAUCAGGAGGAACACCGGUGGCGAAGGCGGGUCUCUGGGCCGAUACUGACGCUGAGGAGCGAAAGCGUGGGGAGCGAACAGGAUUAGAUACCCUGGUAGUCCACGCCGUAAACGUUGGGCGCUAGGUGUGGGGACCAUUCCACGGUUUCUGUGCCGCAGCUAACGCAUUAAGCUCCCCGCCUGGGGAGUACGG